GAUGAACGCUGGCGGCGUGCCUAAUACAUGCAAGUCGAGCGAACAGAUAAGGAGCUUGCUCCUUUGAAGUUAGCGGCGGACGGGUGAGUAACACGUGGGUAACCUACCUAUAAGACUGGGAUAACUUCGGGAAACCGGAGCUAAUACCGGAUAACAUUUAGAACCGCAUGGCUCUAAAGUGAAAGAUGGUUUUGCUAUCACUUAUAGAUGGACCCGCGCCGUAUUAGCUAGUUGGUAAGGUAACGGCUUACCAAGGCGACGAUACGUAGCCGACCUGAGAGGGUGAUCGGCCACACUGGAACUGAGACGCGGUCCAGACUCCUACGGGAGGCAGCAGUAGGGAAUCUUCCGCAAUGGGCGAAAGCCUGACGGAGCAACGCCGCGUGAGUGAUGAAGGGUUUCGGCUCGUAAAACUCUGUUAUUAGGGAAGAACAAAUGUGUAAGUAACUGUGCACAUCUUGACGGUACCUAAUCAGAAAGCCACGGCUAACUACGUGCCAGCAGCCGCGGUAAUACGUAGGUGGCAAGCGUUAUCCGGAAUUAUUGGGCGUAAAGCGCGCGUAGGCGGUUUCUUAAGUCUGAUGUGAAAGCCCACGGCUCAACCGUGGAGGGUCAUUGGAAACUGGGAAACUUGAGUGCAGAAGAGGAAAGUGGAAUUCCAUGUGUAGCGGUGAAAUGCGCAGAGAUAUGGAGGAACACCAGUGGCGAAGGCGACUUUCUGGUCUGUAACUGACGCUGAUGUGCGAAAGCGUGGGGAUCAAACAGGAUUAGAUACCCUGGUAGUCCACGCCGUAAACGAUGAGUGCUAAGUGUUAGGGGGUUUCCGCCCCUUAGUGCUGCAGCUAACGCAUUAAGCACUCCGCCUGGGGAGUACGACCGCAAGGUUGAAACUCAAAGGAAUUGACGGGGACCCGCACAAGCGGUGGAGCAUGUGGUUUAAUUCGAAGCAACGCGAAGAACCUUACCAAAUCUUGACAUCCUUUGAAAACUCUAGAGAUAGAGCCUUCCCCUUCGGGGGACAAAGUGACAGGUGGUGCAUGGUUGUCGUCAGCUCGUGUCGUGAGAUGUUGGGUUAAGUCCCGCAACGAGCGCAACCCUUAAGCUUAGUUGCCAUCAUUAAGUUGGGCACUCUAGGUUGACUGCCGGUGACAAACCGGAGGAAGGUGGGGAUGACGUCAAAUCAUCAUGCCCCUUAUGAUUUGGGCUACACACGUGCUACAAUGGACAAUACAAAGGGCAGCUAAACCGCGAGGUCAUGCAAAUCCCAUAAAGUUGUUCUCAGUUCGGAUUGUAGUCUGCAACUCGACUACAUGAAGCUGGAAUCGCUAGUAAUCGUAGAUCAGCAUGCUACGGUGAAUACGUUCCCGGGUCU
rnacentral:rRNA from 1 species